GUUACAGCAGCCGCGGUAAUACGGAGGGUGCGAGCGUUGUCCGGAAUCACUCGGCGUAAAGGGCGCGUAGGCGGCAGGCCAAGCGUGCGGUGAAAGCCCGGGGCUCAACCCCGGGUCGGCCGUGCGGACUGGCGUGCUCGAGCACUGUAGGGGCGGGUGGAAUUCCGGGUGUAGCGGUGGAAUGCGUAGAGAUCCGGAAGAACACCGGUGGCGAAGGCGGCCCGCUGGGCAGGAAGAGAGCGUAAGCUCUCGGCUGACGCUGAGGCGCGACGGCCUGGGGAGCAAACAGGAUUAGAUACCCGCGUAGUCC
rnacentral:rRNA from 1 species